rnacentral:rRNA from 1 species
AAAUUGAAGAGUUUGAUCAUGGCUCAGAUUGAACGCUGGCGGCAGGCCUAACACAUGCAAGUCGAACGGUAACAGAAAGAAGCUUGCUUCUUUGCUGACGAGUGGCGGACGGGUGAGUAAUGUCUGGGAAACUGCCUGAUGGAGGGGGAUAACUACUGGAAACGGUAGCUAAUACCGCAUAACGUCGCAAGACCAAAGAGGGGGACCUUCGGGCCUCUUGCCAUCGGAUGUGCCCAGAUGGGAUUAGCUAGUAGGUGGGGUAACGGCUCACCAAGGCGACGAUCCCUAGCUGGUCUGAGAGGAUGACCAGCCACACUGGAACUGAGACACGGUCCAGACUCCUACGGGAGGCAGCAGUGGGGAAUAUUGCACAAUGGGCGCAAGCCUGAUGCAGCCAUGC